rnacentral:tRNA from 1 species
GUUUUUAUAAUUUAAAAAAAAAUAUUGGUUUUGUAAACCAAAAAUAAAAAAUAUUUUUAAAAACA